rnacentral:misc_RNA from 1 species
CUGAGUGUUGGCCUCUAAGGCCUAACCUCCCACCCGUGUUUACUAUACCUUUGUUGCUUUGGCGGGCCCACUGGGUUUCCCCCGGUCGCUGGGGGGUAUCUUACCCCCGGGCCCGCGCCCGCCGAAGCGCCUUUGAACCCUAUUAUGAAAAGACUGUCUGAGUUGGAGGGCUAAAUUAUUA